rnacentral:rRNA from 1 species
UGGGGAUUAUUGCACAAUGGGGGAAACCCUGAUGCAGCGACGCCGCGUGAACGAAGAAGGUAUUCGUAUCGUAAAGUUCUGUCCUAUGGGAAGAUAAUGACAGUACCAUAGAAGAAAGCUCCGGCUAAAUACGUGCCAGCAGCCGCGGUAAUACGUAUGGAGCGAGCGUUGUCCGGAAUUAUUGGGCGUAAAGGGUACGCAGGCGGUUUAAUAAGUCGAAUGUUAAAGAUCGGGGCUCAACCCCGCAAAGCAUUGGAAACUGAUAAACUUGAGUAGUGGAGAGGAAAGUGGAAUUCCUAGUGUAGUGGUGAAAUACGUAGAUAUUAGGAGGAAUACCAGUAGCGAAGGCGACUUUCUGGACACAAACUGACGCUGAGGUACGAAAGCGUGGGGAGCAAACAGG